rnacentral:rRNA from 1 species
CCCUUAGAUGUUCUGGGCCGCACGCGCGCUACACUGAUGCAUUCAACGAGUUUUACCUUGGCCGAGAGGCCUGGGCAAUCUUUUAAACCUGCAUCGUGAUAGGGAUAGAUUAUUGCAAUUAUUAAUCUUGAACGAGGAAUUCCUAGUAAACGCGAAUCAUCAAUUCGCAUUGAUUACGUCCCUGCCCUUUGUACACACCGCCCGUCGCACCUACCGAUUGAGUGGUCCGGUGAGGCUUUGGGAUCUGAGCGGAAAGAGCGUUUCGCUGUCUCUGCCCGGAAAACUCAGUCGAACCUUAUCAUUUAGAGGAAGGAGAAGUCGUAACA